UACGUAGGGUCCGAGCGUUGUCCGGAAUUACUGGGCGUAAAGAGCUCGUAGGUGGUUUGUCGCGUCUGCCGUGAAAGUCCGGGGCUCAACUCCGGAUCUGCGGUGGGUACGGGCAGACUAGAGUGAUGUAGGGGAGACUGGAAUUCCUGGUGUAGCGGUGAAAUGCGCAGAUAUCAGGAGGAACACCGAUGGCGAAGGCGGGUCUCUGGGCAUUAACUGACGCUGAGGAGCGAAAGCAUGGGGAGCGAACAGG
rnacentral:rRNA from 1 species